rnacentral:rRNA from 1 species
GCCGUAAUACCGGAUAAUCUUUUCUGCACAUGUAGAAAAGCUGAAAGAUGGUUUCGGCUAUCACUCAUAGAUGGGCCGCGGCGCAUUAGCUAGUUGGUGAGGUAACGGCUCACCAAGGCGACGAUGCGUAGCCGACCUGAGAGGGUGAUCGGCCACACUGGGACUGAGACACGGCCCAG